GUGCUCACUUCAGCCACACGUACAGUAAAAAUUGGAACAAUACAGAGAUUAGCAUGGCCCCUGUGCAAGGAUGACAUGCAAAUUCAUGAAACGUUCCAUAUUUUU
ensembl:snRNA U6 U6 spliceosomal RNA